rnacentral:rRNA from 1 species
CAAUAGCGUAUAUUAAUGUUGUUGCAGUUAAAAAGCUCGUAGUUGGAUUUCUGGUGGAAGCGACCGGUCCGCCCCUCACAGGGUGUGCACUAGCGUCUGUCUUUUGCCAUCCUUGCGAAGAAGCGGUGUGGCAUUAAGUUGUCGCGCCGUCUGACUCGCAUCGUUUACUGUGAAAAAAUUAGAGUGUUUAAAGCAGGCAAUUGCUGUGAAUACAUUAGCAUGGAAUAAUAAGAUAGGACUUUGGUACUAUUUUGUUGGUUUGCAUAUCAAAGUAAUGAUUAACAGGGACAGUUGGGGGUAUUCGUAUUUCGUUGUCAGAGGUGAAAUUCUUGGAUUUAUGAAAGACGAACUACUGCGAAAGCAUUUACCAAGGAUGUUUNCAUUAA